rnacentral:rRNA from 1 species
UAGGGAAUAUUAGUAAUGGGCGAAAGCCUGAACUAGCAACGCCGCGUGUGCGAAGAGGGCCUUCGGGUUGUAAAGCACUUUUUGAGAGGAUGAGGAAGGACGGUACUCUCAGAAUAAGUCUCGGCUAACUACGUGCCAGCAGCCGCGGUAACACGUAGGAGGCGAACGUUAUCCGGAUCUACUGGGCGUAAAGCGCGUGUAGGUGGUUUGGUAAGUAGGGCGUGAAAGCUCCUGGCUCAACUGGGAGAGGCCGUUCUAAACUGCCGAACUAGAGGAUGGUAGAGGGAGGUGGAAUUCCGGGUGUAGCGGUAGAAUGCGCAGAUAUCCGGAGGAACACCAGUGGCGAAAGCGGCCUCCUGGACCACUCCUGACACUCAGACGCGAAAGCUAGGGUAGCAAACGG